rnacentral:rRNA from 1 species
GGUUUGAUUAUGGCUCAGAUUGAACGCUGGCGGGAUGCUACAUGCGAAAGUCGAACGGCAGCACGGACUUCGGUCUGGUGGCGAGUGAACGGGUGAGUAAUGUAUCGGAACGUGCUAAUGUGCGCGGGGGAUAACUACGCGAAAGCGUAGCUAAUACCGCAUACGCCCUUCGAAAGCCGCAGGGGGACGUGGACACUCGCACUAUUAGGCGGCCGAUAUCGGAUUAGCUAGUUGGUGGGGUAACGGCUCACCAAGGCGACGAUCCGUAGCUGGUUUGAGAGGACGACCAGCCACACUGGGACUGAGACACGGCCCAGACUCCUACGGGAGGCAGCAGUGGAAUUUUGGACAAUGGGGGAAACCCUGAUCCAGCCAUCCCGCGUGUGCGAUGAAGGCCUUCGGGUUUGUAAGCACUUUUGGCAGGAAAGAAACAGCACGGGAUAAUGCCCCGUGCAACUGACUGACACCUGCAGAAUAAGCACCGGCUAACUACGUGCACCAGCAGCCGCGGUAAUACGUAGGGUGCAGAAGAUUAAUCGGAAUUACUGGGCGUAAAGCGUGCGCAGGCGGUUCCGGAAAGAAAGAUGUGAAAUCCCAGAGCUUAACUGGAGACUGCAUUUUAACUACCGAGCUAGAGUGUGUCAGAGGAGGUGGAAUUCCACGCGUGUAGCAGUGAAAUGCGUAGAUAUGCGGAGGAACACCGAUGGCGAAGGCAGCCUCCUGGGAUAACACUGACGCUCAUGUACAAAAGCGUGGGGAGCAAACAGGAUUAGAUACCCUGGUAGUCCACGCCUAAACGAUGUCAACUAGCUGUUGGGGCAGCGGGCCUUGGUGGCGCAACUAACGCGUGAAGUUGACCGCCUGGGAAGUACGGUCGCAAGAUUAAAACUCAAAGGAAUUGACGGGGACCCGCACAAGCGGUGGAUGAUGUGGAUUAAUUCGAUGCAACGCGAAAAACCUUACCUACCCUUGACAUGUCUGGAAUCCCGAAGAGAUUUGGGAGUGCUCGCAAGAGAACCGGAACACAGGUGCUGCAUGGCUGUCGUCAGCUCGUGUCGUGAGAUGUUGGGUUAAGUCCCGCAACGAGCGCAACCCUUGUCAUUAGUUGCUACGAAAGGGCACUCUAAUGGGGCCUGCCGGUGACAAACCGGAGGAAGGUGGGGAUGACGUCAAGUCCUCGUAACCUAUAGUAGGGCUUCACACGUCAUACAAUGGUCGGGACAGAGGGUCGCCAACCCGCGAGGGGGAGCCAAUCCCAGAAACCCGAUCGUAGUCCGGAUCGCAGUCUGCAACUCGACUGCGUGAAGUCGAAUAUGGCAGUAAUCGCGGAUCAGCAUGUCGCGGUGAAUACGUUCCCGGGUCUUGUACACACCGCCCGUCACACCAUGGGAGUGGGUUUUACCAAGUAGUUAGCCUAACCGUAAGGAGGGCGAUUACCACGGUAAGUUCAUGACUGGGGUGAAGUCGUAACAAGGUAG